CAGUAGCGUAUAUUAAAGUUGUUGCAGUUAAAAAGCUCGUAGUUGGAUUUCUGAUCGAGACAUCAGGUCGGGUCCGAGAGGAUCAUGUACUUUGAUUUGUUUUGAUCAUCCUUGGGGAGAGCAUUUCUGGCAUUCAGUUGUCGGGAUUGGGAUCCUCAUCGUUUACUGUGAAAAAAUUAGAGUGUUCAAAGCAGGCCUCGGCCUCUGAAUACAUUAGCAUGGAAUAAUAAGAUAGGACUUUGGUGGUCUAUUUUGUUGGUUUGCACGCCAAAGUAAUGAUUAAUAGGGAUAGUUGGGGGUAUUCGUAUUCAAUUGUCAGAGGUGAAAUUCUUGGAUUUAUGGAAGACGAACUACUGCGAAAGCAUUUACCAAGGAUGUUUUCAUUAA
rnacentral:rRNA from 1 species